rnacentral:rRNA from 1 species
AUUUAGAGGAAGGAGAAGUCGUAACAAGGUUUCCGUAGGUGAACCUGCGGAAGGAUCAUUGUCGAAACCUGCCCAGCAGAACGACCCGUGAACAUGUUAAUAACUACCGGGGGCAGGGGGCGAUCAAAAGCCUCCUGUCCCCAAAACGGUUGGGGAGCACGUGCUGUUGUCCUGUCGACCCUCUGGCGCGAACAAGGAACCACACGCACAUGUCCCCCCAAUCGAACAACGAACCCCGGCGCGGACUGCGCCAAGGAACUUCAACAAAAGAGUGCCUCCCGAUCGCCCCGGAAACGGUGUGCGUUGGUUGGGACGUCUUGACUGUUAUACAAAACGACUCUCGGCAACGGAUAUCUCGGCUCUCGCAUCGAUGAAGAACGUAGCGAAAUGCGAUACUUGGUGUGAAUUGCAGAAUCCCGCGAAUCAUCGAGUUUUUGAACGCAAGUUGCGCCCAAAGCCGUUUGGCCGAGGGCACGUCUGCCUGGGUGUCACGCAUCGUUGCCCCAACCCCAAACACCUCGCAAGAGGGAUUUCGGGGACUAUCGGGGCGGACAUUGGCCUCCCGUGAGCUAGUUCUCGCGGUUAGCCUAAAUACGAGUCCUCGGCGACGAGCGCCACGACAAUCGGUGGUUGAUAAAGCCCUCGUUUCCCGUCGUGCGUGCCUCGUCUCCCUAUGUGCGCUCUGUGACCCUGCUGUGUCGUUCAAGCGACACUUCCAUCGCGACCCCAGGUCAGGCGGGACUACCCGCUGAGUUUA